AAUCGUGCAGAUGAGUGAAUCGCGCUAACCUAUUUGCCAUACUGGUGCUCAGCAUUAACCACGUGACCUGAAAAAAUGAUAAUCCGUGAAUAAAGAAGAAUAAUUCGAAAUGAAUUGUUCGAAAGAGUUGCGCUUUCACAUAAAGGUCGGAUGAAGCUUUUAUGCUCAAUCACUGCAGGCUAUAUCAUAGGAACGUGAUCCUCCUUAAAAGCUAUUCGCGAUGUAUACGAACAAUGAACGUGACAAUGAAUAUUCAUGAGUCAAGUGCAACAAAAAAAUUUGAAUAUCUCAGGAUCUAAAAUCAAGCGGCUUAUAGGAUAAAGUUGUUCAGAGCGACGACCUCGACAAGAUAUUUUAAGGUACUCGAAAUCGGUAGCUUUCUCGUCGAACUCCGGCCCGAUGAUCUUCUUGUUGCAAGAAACGAUGCUUUUAAGAGUAAGUAUCGAUCCACUGAUCCAGUACAAAGAACUGAACCACAAUGGGACGUGUGCGUUGAGCGAGAAACCUGCCAUCGGGUUCAAUGCAUUUAUAAGUGCCUUGUGCGAAAUCUGCACGCCCUUCGGCAUUCCCGUUGUUCCAGACGAGAAAAGAAUCAAACCCGUGUGAUUGGGAUCGUUGAUCUCUCUGCAUCGAAAAUUCUUCACUGCCGACUCGGUAUGCCCUUUCAGCGUUUCGGAAAACAGCGUCGCACCAGGAUAGUAGUCGAAACACACCAUUUUCAGAUGAUACAGCUCGAUCUUCGCAGCUUCCAAUAUGACCGCCACCGAUUUCUCAUUCGCGAAGAUCACUUUCGGUUGCGAUAAUGCGAGAAAGUAACGCGCAAGUUCUACAAAGUUGUAAUAAUUGAUUAGUCAUCGUGUGCAAUCGUAUGAUCUUUUUAACAUGCAAAGCAAUCGGUUAAGUGGAAAAAAGAUAUUUACCGAAUGUCCAGCUGGACAAAUUGUAAGUUACUGUAAAAGUUAUUGAUCAAUAAAUUGCUGCAAAAUAUUAUUUUUAACGAUGAUACUCGGUACAUUUAAUUUCUUCACAAGGAACACUACUAUCUUUCACUUCUCUACCUAUAUCUCACUAAUAUCUCAUUAUCUCCAAAUGCGAUAAGACAAAUAGAAAAGUGAAUUUUUUGUAUUUAGUUAUUUGUUUUUUGAAGAGUACCGCGUUCUUAAUUAAUUCAACUGGUUUCUCCCUACUCAUUGGCAAGCUGUGCAAAAUGAAAUGGAACUGUGUUAGUAAGCUUGCUUUCUCGAGGCUCGUGUACUAGAAAAAUCGUUCUGUAUAUUUCUGAAAACACAGGUAUCGAAGUUUUAUACUGUUUCGACUUGAUUUUCCGCAUACUUUUUUUUCAUUAUUCUUCUCUUAUCUUUGUUUAAUUUAUCACGUUUUGUUUUUUAUAUCUAUAUAUCUAUACACAUAUAAAAAGGUAUUAAAGUAAAAUUCGUCGAUCGAUGACACUAUACAACAACAACAUUCUUGAACAAUGCACAAUUUCUCAUUUUUUCCUUUACCAUUCUCUUUUAUAAUUAUCGAUCAUACCGCGAUAUGCGAAUAAAUAAAAUAUAUAUUGUGUCGACGUUACCAUUAUUAGAAAUGAAGACCACUGUAGAAAAACAUGAUAAAUUCACAUUUGACAAUUUUUGUUUUAAUGCGAGAGAGAAUACGUCAUUGUGGUAGCUGAAGAAAAGAAAAAUCUGUUAGGUCGAAAGAUAUAAUGACAAUAUUAAUAAGCGACAGCUACAAAGCUUUUCAUAAGAUAUAGAAUUUGUUUUUCCGUAAAAGAACAAUGACGUAACUAACGUUACGAUAUAUUCUAUAUUCUACGGGUCGUUAUUUUUUAAAUAUUUAACAGCAUAGUGUUAUUCAAAUAAGAAGAGUAUCGGAUCUUAAAUUAUUGUUUCACAAAAAGUGGAAAACGUGGUUUAUCGUGUCUUUACCUGAUGGUCUUCAAAUACA
rnacentral:misc_RNA from 1 species